GCCAAAUGACAACUAAAAUAAACAAGUAGCAUUACCCUGUUUUCCACAUAAAAUAAAAGAACAGAGUUGUUCUGUUUUUUCACAUCUGUUCUGUUUUUUCACACGCCAUACAUACCAUACAUAUGUAUCAUAUUUGUUUCUAUAUAUAUAUAUGAUAAGCUUUGGUAUGUGACCGACCUUUCGUGCUCUUUGAUUUGGUUUCUCAUCCUGAAAAGCUUGGUGGUCUUGGUUGGCUUCAAUGGCCAAUAUGAGAUCACUCAUGUCAAGCUUUUCCUCCUACUUCAAACUGCUUUUGCUGCUUCUCACUAUUUCUGAGACAUUUAUACAGACAAGUGGUUCUGAUUUUGGAAUCAACUAUGGACAAAUAGCCAACAAUCUUCCCUCUCCAUCACGCGUUGCUGUUCUUAUAAAAUCACUGAAUGUAAGCAGAUUGAAGCUCUAUGAUGCUGAUCCAAAUGUUCUAUCAGCUUUCUCCAAUUCCAAUGUGGAAUUCAUUAUAGGACUUGCAAAUGAGAAUCUUCAAAGCAUGAGAGACCCUUCAAAAGCUCAGAGUUGGGUUCAGCAAAAUGUUCAACCUUACCUAUCACAGACCAAGAUCACAUGCAUCACUGUAGGAAAUGAAGUCUUCAAUCUAAAUGAUACUCAGCUCAUGAUGAAUCUCCUUCCAGCAAUGCAAUCUGUUUAUAAUGCCCUUGUUAACCUUGGAUUAUCACAACAAGUUACUGUAACAACAGCACAUUCAUUCAACAUUUUAUCUAGUUCAUUCCCUCCUUCAUCUGGUGCUUUUAGGCAAGAUUUGAUUCCAUAUAUACAACCACUCCUUAACUUCCAUGCUCAAACCAAAUCACCUUUUCUUAUUAAUGCAUACCCUUUCUUUGCAUACAAGGACAGCCCUGAUAAGAUUUCAUUGAGUUAUGUACUAUUUCAACCAAAUUCUGGCUCAAUUGAUCCUGUAACCAAUCUGCAUUAUGAUAACAUGUUGUAUGCUCAGAUUGAUGCUGUCUAUGCUGCCAUCAAGGCCCUAGGCCAUACCGAUAUCGUGGUUAGGAUUUCGGAGACAGGUUGGCCUUCUAAGGGUGACCCAGAUGAGGUUGGAGCUACACCAGAGAAUGCAGAGAUAUAUAACAGCAAUUUGUUGAAGAGAAUACAGCAGAAACAAGCAACUCCUGCAAAUCCAUCAGUUCCAAUUGAUAUCUUUGUAUUUGCACUUUUCAAUGAGGAUUUGAAGCCUGGUCCUGCAUCAGAGAGGAACUAUGGCCUUUAUUAUCCUGAUGGUUCUCCAGUUUAUAACAUUGGAUUACAAGGUUAUCUCCCAGAAAUGGUCAUAGAAUCCAAAUCCAAUGUUUUGUCCAUCAAUUUUCUUAUUUAUACUAUUACAUGCUUGGUGUUGUGUUGGGAGCUUACAAGAUUGUGAUCAGAAUAAGUUAGUGAUAGAAGUAAAGAAAUUCAUAUAGACCAUUCUUUUGCAGCUGAAGUUGUUGAAGGAAGGUUUUUUUGGUGACUUCUUUGCAGGAAGUUUGACAAAGGUAAAAGCAGUACACUUUCUUUUCGCAACAAAUUCUACGCUUUUGGUAGAUAGCUAUGGUUGCAAGUUGGAGGCUUAGUUCGUACAUAUAGCUUUGCUCAAACCAUUCAUAUAGUUAUUGAUUUGUCAAUUCUACAAUAACUAAAGGUAGAAGGCUGAUGUUGGAUUUUGUAAUAUGGAUUAGAGUUUUCUGUUCUUUCUUUUUCUUUUUUUCUUUGUUGGAAAAAGUAGAGUUUUCUUUGGAUAUAGAGGGGGAAAAAAAUAGAUUUAGUUGUAUAUGUAAAGAAAAUGUUGGAUAAUGAGGAAGCUGUUUCGAUCCACUUUCUGUACACUUGUAACAAA